GACGAACGCUGGCGGUGUGCUUAACACAUGCAAGUCGAGCGGUAAGGCCCUUUCGGGGGUACACGAGCGGCGAACGGGUGAGUAACACGUGGGUGACCUGCCCUCAGCUCUGGGAUAAGCCUGGGAGACCGGGUCUAAUACUGGAUAUGACUCCAUGACGCAUGUUGUGGGGUGGAAAGCCUUGUGCGGCUGAGGAUGGGCCCGCGGCCUAUCAGCUUGUUGGUGGGGUGAUGGCCUACCAAGGCGACGACGGGUAGCCGGCCUGAGAGGGCGACCGGCCACACUGGGACUGAGACACGGCCCAGACUCCUACGGGAGGCAGCAGUGGGGAAUCUUGCGCAAUGGGCGAAAGCCUGACGCAGCGACGCCGCGUGAGGGAUGACGGCCU
rnacentral:rRNA from 1 species